rnacentral:rRNA from 1 species
GGAAUCUUGCGCAAUGGGCGAAAGCCUGACGCAGCAACGCCGCGUGCGGGAAGAAGGCUUUCGGGCUGUAAACCGCUUUCAGUAGGAACGAAACUGACGGUACCUACAGAAGAAGGAGCGGCCAACUAUGUGCCAGCAGCCGCGGUGACACAUAGGCUCCAAGCGUUGUCCGGAUUUAUUGGGCGUAAAGAGCUCGUAGGCGGUUGAGUAAGUCGGGUGUGAAAACUUUGGGCUUAACCCAAAGAUGCCACUCGAUACUGCUUUGACUUGAGUUCGGUAGGGGAGUGGGGAAUUCCUUGUGUAGCGGUGAAAUGCGCAGAUAUAAGGAGGAACACCGGUGGCGAAGGCGCCACUCUGGGCCGAUACUGACGCUGAGGAGCGAAAGCGUGGGGAGCAAACAGGAUUAGAUACCCUGGUAGUCCACGCGGUAAACGGUGGUCACUAGGUGUGGGUCUCUUCAAACGAGAUCUGCGCCGUCGCUAACGCAUUAAGUGACCCGCCUGGGGAGUACGGUCGCAAGACUAAAACUCAAAGGAAUUGACGG